UACAGAGGUGGCAAGCGUUGUUCGGAAUUACUGGGCGUAAAGGGCGCGUAGGCGGCCUUCUAAGUCAGACGUGAAAUCCCCCGGCUUAACCUGGGAACUGCGUCUGAUACUGGGAGGCUUGAGUAUGGGAGAGGGAUGUAGAAUUCCAGGUGUAGCGGUGAAAUGCGUAGAUAUCUGGAGGAAUACCGGUGGCGAAGGCGGCAUCCUGGACCAUUACUGACGCUGAGGCGCGAAGGUCAGGGGAGCAAACGGG
rnacentral:rRNA from 1 species